rfam:Strongyloides venezuelensis genome assembly, scaffold: SVE_scaffold0000002
UCUCUGGUAGUAUAGUGGUGAGUAUCCGCGCCUGUCACGUGCGAGACCGGGGUUCGAUUCCCCGCCAGAGAG